rnacentral:rRNA from 1 species
UACGGAGGGGGCUAGCGUUUUUCGGAAUUACUGGGCGUAAAGCGCGCGUAGGCGGGCCUGCAAGUCGGGGGUGAAAGCCCGAGGCUUAACCUCGGAACUGCCUUCGAUACUGCGGGUCUCGAGUCCGGGAGAGGUGAGUGGAAUUCCUAGUGUAGAGGUGAAAUUCGUAGAUAUUAGGAAGAACACCAGUGGCGAAGGCGGCUCACUGGCCCGGUACUGACGCUGAGGCGCGAAAGCGUGGGGAGCAAACAGG